GGCCUCUUAGCUCAGUGGUUAGAGCGUUCCCCUAGUAAGGGAAAGGUCAUGAGUUCAAACCUCGUAGAGGCCU
rfam:Trachipleistophora hominis chromosome Tnknown scaffold00015, whole genome shotgun sequence.